GUGACGUUUUCCUGAAGAAAUGGGAGCCUUCCAUGCAUCUGCUGCAUCUCCGUGAAGAAGCACUGCUGUGCAGUGGACUCGAGGAAACACAGACCGUCGCUGACGCGCUGAGAGCUGGGCUUGAACAAGGGCAGUGACGGCAGCGGUCUGCCUCUUCUCUGAGCUCCGGAGACGCGCGUGCACUAAUAAACUUCAGGUCUGGGCACCGCAUCUGAGGCCGAUGGCUCCCGGAGGUCAGGCAUCUGACAGCCACACCAGAUAGAGUGGAAGGAGCGAGUAGGAGUGUUUCAGCGGGAGGAGCAGAGCAGGAUGCAAGAAAAGUGAGGAAACUUGGCUAAUAACCUGCUUGGAUUUAUUGGCUUUCUGUUAAUGGAACUUCUAUACACAAGACAAACUCCGGAAGAUAGUGGAAGACAAGGAGCGUGGCUUGCUACAGUCCAUGAGGUUGCAAAGAGUCGGACGUGACUUAGCGACUGAAAAGCAACAAUAGCAACAAAUACGCAAGCCCGUUAGUCUUGUAUUUUCAAAGCCGGAGGUAGAUGUCAAGACCUGUGUGCAUCGAAGUAGCCAGAUGGACAAUGACGACCACUGCUGGUGACAUGUUCAUACAAACUGCCAGUAACUGGGUAAUAUGGGCUACUGUCUGACUGGAAUCAACCACAACACUGGUCUGCCACCUUUUCUGGCUUCUCUUUGAUCUUUCCUCCUGCAGUGAUGACCUUCUGCGCCGUGCCCUUCCAUUCCGGAAAAGGCCAGUCACUGCCACCCAACAAUUUAAUUAAAGGCCACAUUACAAGCAUCACUUGGAAUCUGUGGGGGAUUGUUCUGGAGCCUCAAGAACAUGAAAAUCAAUAGAUGCUCCAUGGCCCUCUGAAUCCACGGUUCUGCAGCCUCAGACUCAACCAACUGCAGAUGGUGUCGUCUUGUAUGUACUUUCUGGAAACAUCUGAGUAUAAGGUGACCUGUGCAGCUCAGACCUGUAUUGCUCAAGACGUAACUGUACUUGUUCAAGGAUACAGCUGGCUGGGUUCCACAUGGCAACAUGGCUCCAGUGCUCUGUGGACCCAUACUCACCAGGACAGAAGAAAACGGGAGGGGAUGUUCACGGGCUUUCACGUCCCCAUCCAGAAAUUCACACGGAUCCUUCUGCCCGUUUCCAUGACCAGAGCAACUCAGCCCUGUGCGGGAAUCAGGGAACGUGGCCACUUGCCUCCCAGUUCACCGCUCUGCAGCCAGUACCCGUCACUGCGCUCGGUACAGAUGAGGUACUCAGUUCAAAGACACUAAUGAUGGACAAGGUCUCUCCUUCCAGAAGCCUGUGGUCCACCAAGAGACCUGUGAGGUGCGUGGGUGGGUGGAAGAGGUUGCCUAACAAAGGCAAACUGAUGUGCGGUGUGGAGGUCCACCUCGGGUGUCCCAGGGAGCAAGACGGAGUGCUACUCACUGAGCUGAGUAUAAGAAGAGCAGAGAUGCUCCACAGGGGAUCCGAGGUAAAGCAGGGCCUUCAGUUGAUCAGUCACUAAGUCCGACUCUUCGUGAUCCACUGGACUGCAGCUCACCAGGCUACUUUGUCCCCCACUAUCUCCCCAGAUUCGCUCAGAUUUCUGUCCAUUGAGUCAGUGAUGCUAUCUAACUGUCUUCUGUCAUCCCCUUCUCCUCCUGCCCCCAAUCCCUCCCAGCAUCAGGGUCUUUUCCAAUGAGCCGGUUCUUCGCAUCAGGUGGCCAAAGUACUGGAGUUUCAGCUUCAACAUCAGUCCCUCCAAUGAACACCCAGGACUGAUCUCCUUUAGGAUGGACUGGUUGGAUCUCCUUGCAGUCCAAGGAACUCUCAAGAGUCUUUUCCAACACCACAGUUCAAAAGCACCAAUUCUUCGGCGCUCAGCCUUCUUCCUGGUCCACCUCCUGCAUCCACACGUGACACCUGGAGUACAGGACCACUUGAGAAAGCAGGUCCUAGAAGAGGGUGGGCUGUGUGCAGACAGGAGAGGGCUUGGGGCCCUAGCCCCCGAAGUCCAGAGCUGGCGUUACCCUCGAAACUCCUCGAAGGAAGGUGGUCUCGGUGGUAGACAAGGAGGCAAGAGCCCGCAUGAGGCAACUUUUAGCACCAAGGAAAUCCCUCCGGCCGAUGCCCAAGCCACCUCCCCGGCCAGCAUGGGGUCUCAGAAACCCUAUCUCGGGGCUCAGCGCUGCAUCCUAAGGCUUCCGUCCUGUUACAGCACCAACACCUUUGGAGGAGGAGAUGGUGGAUAGCUCACUUUGAAAUCUAGUAACAGCUGUCUUCACCUGGCUGUGCCUAGAGUUUCCUUUGAGAAGGUUUGGUGGAGGCCAUACCCACAGGGCACAGAGGGGCCUCGAGGUCUCCAGAGGACAGAGAACCUUGACCUUCUUCCCUCCAGCCUCACCUCCCCACCCACAGGCCUCCGCACAACUCCUCGGCCUGGGACAUGUCGCCUCGAUCCCUAGGGUCAGGGGCCACAGCCCACGCUGCCCACUGAGACCAGCAGCCCCUCCCCCACAACGCUCCAGUGGCCUGCGCCCGCCCAGCCCAUCCACGCCCUGUCAUCCACAGUUGUGUGCAAUUACUGCGGGUCUGGACUCAGUAAAAC
ensembl:lncRNA